GGGGGAAUCUUGGACAAUGGGGGGAACCCUGAUCCAGCGACGCCGCGUGGAGGACGAAGGUCUUCGGAUCGUAAACUCCUUUUGACGGGGAAGAUGAUGACGGUACCCGUCGAAUAAGCCCCGGCUAACUACGUGCCAGCAGCCGCGGUAAUACGUAGGGGGCGAGCGUUGUCCGGAUUUACUGGGCGUAAAGAGCGCGUAGGCGGCUCGUUAAGUCGACCGUGAAAGGUCUCGGCUCAACCGGGAUAAGUCGGGCGAAACUGGCGGGCUUGAGGGCGGUAGAGGAAGGUGGAAUUCCGGGUGUAGUGGUGAAAUGCGUAGAUAUCCGGAGGAACACCGGUGGCGAAGGCGGCCUUCUGGGCCGUACCUGACGCUGAGGCGCGAAAGCGUGGGGAGCGAACUGA
rnacentral:rRNA from 1 species